rnacentral:rRNA from 1 species
GACCUCAGAUCAGGUAGGACCACCGCCUGAACUUAAGCAUAUCAAUAAGGCGAGGAACAGAAACCAACAGGGAUUCCCCUAGUAGUGGCGAAUGAAGCGGGAAAAGCUCAAGUUUGAAAUCUGGCGGGCUCGUUCUGUCAGAGUUGUAAGCUGAAGAGGCAUCGACCGGCGUCGUCCGGGCCCAAUUUCCUUGGAACAGGAAGUCAUUGAGGGUGAGAACCCCGUCUGCGGCUCGGAGCCUUCGUCCUUGUGUCGUGUCCUCGAAGAGUCGGGUUGUUUGGGAAUGCAGCUCAAAAUGGGUGGUAAAUUCCAUCUAAGGCUAAAUAUUGACGAGAGACCGAUAGCGAACAAGUAGAGUGAUCGAAAGAUGAAAAGUACUUUGAAAAGAGAGUGAAACAGUACGUGAAAUUGUUGAAAGGGAAGCGU